AUUGAACGCUGGCGGCAGGCCUACCACAUGCAAGUCGAACGAGUGGCGGACGGGUGAGUAAUGUCUGGGAAACUGCCUGAUGGAGGGGGAUAACUACUGGAAACGGUAGCUAAUACCGCAUACCAUCAGAUGUGCCCAGAUGGGAUUAGCUUGUUGGUGGGGUAACGGCUCACCAAGGCGACGAUCCCUAGCUGGUCUGAGAGGAUGACCAGCCACACUUGAACUGAGCCACGGUCCCGACUCCUGCGGGAGGCAGCAGUGGGGAAUAUUCCACCAUUGGCGCGAGCCGGAUGCAGCCAUGCCGCGUGUAUGAUGAAGGCCUUCGGGUUGUAGAGUACUUGCAGCGGGGAGGCGUUACCCGCAGAAGAAGGACCGGCGAACUCCGUGCCAGCAGCCGCGGUAAUUC
rnacentral:rRNA from 1 species